CGAAGACAUCGAUUCAUAAUACACUUCUUGAGAACCCCUAAUUUCCUUUCCCUGUUGGUGUUUAAUUGCAACCCUUAAAGUUGUAUGCAUGAAUCUAGGCGUAAUGUCCAUUGUAAGGACAUGAGCAUUGCGUGUUUUGGUGUUGUCCUACUGUUGCUAUUUGGAAGAAUGAAUGGGGAACUAUGUUUUAUGUUUUGGAAAAACUGGAAUCUUUGAAGGUGACGCGAAGGAAUGCCAUGUCAUCAUAUGGUGAGGACGGAUGCAGCGACUACUCUGUGUGAAGCUCAUAAGACCGUGGACAGGCUCCAGAUGCAGAGAGGGACGGCGUGCUCCGACUGUCACAUACAAUUUGACUCGAUGGAGGAGCCCCUUGUAGGCCCAAAGCCAGAGGGGAGGCCCCUGAAGGGCCAUCACCGAUGGAAGACAGACAAACAGGUCUGUGAGGUGGAGGACUUCAGGAGAAGGCUCAAGUACUUCUUCAUGAAUCCCUGUGAGAAAUACAGAGCCAGGGGCCGUAAACCAUGGAAACUAACAUUACAAAUUCUGAAAAUUGCAAUUAUCACAAUCCAGUUGGUCUCUUUUGGCCUGAGCAACGAAAUGAUGGUCAGCUUCAAAGAGGAAAGCCUGCUGACAUUCAAAAAUCUGUUUCUCAAAGGAUACAACGAUCAACAUCGUGGAAUACACACACUUUACACUAAAACAGACGUCUAUGACCAUAUUCACUAUGCCAUUGAUAGGUACAUGAAUCUUGAGAAUCUCACAGUAGGAAAUCAUGCCUAUGAGAGGGUGGAUGGCCUGUACACUCCUCUAUCUCUGUGUAAAGAGUUCUACAGGAACAGCAGCAUCUUCCCAGGCAAUGAGACCUUUGACAUUGAUCCACAUGUGGAAAAAGUUUGUAUAGCCAUAUAUCCUACAAUUGAUACUGAAAGUUGGCCAAGACGUCUGACCUUCUCUAUAGAUUUCAAAAGGCUGCUGUCAGUAAACAUCUACCUCAAACUGAGAGCCAUCAAUCUGCAGACUGUGCGGCACAAUGAACUGCCGGACUGUUAUCUGUUCAAUAUAACGAUCAUAUUUAACAACCACGCCCACAGCGGAAGAAUAAAAACUGAAAUAAUCAAUGAUGUUGGAAUUUACGAAUGCAAAGACUGGAAUGUAGCAGACACUUCUGGGAAGAAUGACUACAUGCUCUUAAUGCUGGAUUCUCUGGUCAUCAUUGCCUGCAUCACCUCGCUCAUCCUCUGCUCACGCUCCGUUAAAAAUGGCAUCCAACUCCAGUUUGAGUAUAAUACGUUCUUCCAAACCUACUUCAGUAAGCCUGUGCCCUGGGCAGAUCGCAUGGAGUUUGUAAAUGGAUGGUACAUCCUCAUCAUUGUGAGUGAUACCCUUACCAUUGCAGGGUCCAUCCUGAAAAUAGGAAUUCAGACCAAGUUCCUGACCAACUAUGACGUGUGCAGUAUUUUGCUCGGGACCGCCACCAUGCUGGUCUGGGUCGGGGUCAUUCGCUACCUCGGUUUCUUCAAGAAGUACAACAUCCUCAUCCUGACCCUGAGAGCAGCCUUCCCCAACGUGAUCCGCUUCUGCUGCUGCGCCGCCAUGAUUUACCUGGGAUACUGUUUCUGUGGCUGGAUCGUGCUUGGCCCCUACCAUGACAAGUUCCGGACCUUGGACAAGGUGACAGAGUGUCUCUUCUCGCUCAUCAACGGGGACGACAUGUACGCUACCUUCAAAGCCAUGAGGGACAAGACGUACCUGGUGUGGCUGUUCAGCCGGGUCUACCUCUACUCAUUCAUCUCCCUCUUCAUCUACAUGGUGCUCAGCCUCUUCAUCGCCCUCAUCACCGACACCUAUGAAACCAUCAAGAGUUGCCAAGAAGACAAGGUGCCAGUGUCUGAGCUCCAGGCCUUUAUAGCAGAAUGCAGAGACCAUCCUGAAUCCGGGCGCUAUCUGACUGAUAACCAGACCGCUUCCUGCUGUGGCUGCUUUGGAUGAACUGUACUCCGAGGCCCUUCUCAGAGAUAACAAUUAUUGUAUUUGCCUUGGUUCAAGCAAGUUGUCGUCAUCAAAUAGCAAACACAUACCCGUUGCCUAACACUUUUUAACUAAACAUUUGAUUUGUGUUACACAAAUGAUCAAUUGUCAUUGUUAGCUAUAAGAACGGUGCUAGAUAAUCUUUGGAUAAAUUAUGAGCAGUAUGUAUUAUUAUGUAUAUAUUAUUAGAUAUGUUCAUGACAAUUUAUAUUGAUGACCAAUAGGCGUUUGUGUAUUUUUUUAGUAGUGAUGAAAGUUACGUAAAGAAGUGGCAUAUUUUACUAGCACAAAUUUGCACAAAUAAAACUGACGUUCGGGCCAGGCAAGUCGCAAAAGACUUGAGGCAGUGUCAGUAAAGUCGAGAACAACCUGUGUGUCUUUGUCCCAUAACGUAACACCUGAGGGCGCACCACAUUUGCAUAAUCCUCUCUCGGUUGGUUCGCAUCCAAUGUGCUGUUCAGAUAUUGGUUGCUUGACAACAUGGCCUCCAAUGACAGAAGUGUUUAGAUGGACGCCGACACGGGAAUACACUUAAAAACAAUCAGCGCUCUGCACCUUCAUGAUGUUUGCCGAACGAGUUAAGGGCUCUGAUCCAGCGAGUGCCUCCAAUCUGCUGCAUAGCUCUUAAUCCAUCCCCAAGAUCAGACUUAACUGAUGACCGCGCCUGUGUCCUACACUUCUUUGAUAUGGGAGACUGGUCGAUGACUUCACCAUUAGGUGUAUCUAUGGAGAACUCUGAGAUCUCCAGUAUAUCACGGGUGACCCUCUCCUCGUCCAGACAAAACCACGAUUCACUGUAUUCCUCCUCUCUGCCGCUGUCCAAAAGCUCACACAAUGUCCUGAGUGCCUUCUGCAUCGAGGAGAACGUGCCACAAUGCAUUUUAUACAUCAACCAGGAGCUGAGUUCGUUAGGCCUCGCCUCCAUGUGCAUCGCAACGCCAGUGGAGGCCACGCUGAACUCCGUGCCCGCCCUGAACGCCAUGUACGAGCUGCUGCAGGCGCAACGCCGCAGCCAGCGCUCCCUGGAGGCGCUUGAACAGGAUCUGCUGAGGACCUCCAGCACCCUGGAGCACCUGCAGACCGGCAACUACAGGCUCAAGGAUCAGUUGGAACUACUG